rnacentral:rRNA from 1 species
ACUAACAAGGAUUCCCCUAGUAACUGCGAGUGAAGCGGGAAAAGCUCAAAUUUAAAAUCUGGCGGUCAUUCUGGCCGUCCGAGUUGUAAUCUAGAGAAGUGUUAUCCGCGCUGGACCGUAUACAAGUCUCCUGGAAUGGGGCGUCAUAGAGGGUGAGAAUCCCGUCUUUGAUACGGACUGCCAGGGCUUAUGUGAUGCGCUCUCAAAGAGUCGAGUUGUUUGGGAAUGCAGCUCAAAAUGGGUGGUAAAUUCCAUCUAAAGCUAAAUAUUGGCGAGAGACCGAUAGCGAACAAGUACCGUGAGGGAAAGAUGAAAAGAACUUUGGAAAGAGAGUUAAACAGUACGUGAAAUUGUUGAAAGGGAAACGCUUGAAGUCAGUCGCGUUGGCCAGGGAUCAACCCCUUGGGGUGUACUUUCUGGUUUUACGGGUCAACAUCAGUUUUGAUUGUUGGAUAAAGGUUAUAGGGAAUGUGGCAUCUUCGGAUGUGUUAUAGCCCUUGGCCAUAUACAACAGUUGGGACUGAGGAACUCAGCAUGCUCGA